CAGCUUUCAUCGACGCCAUCUUUUGGACCAAUGAUGCCCUACCCUCCGUCAAGUAAUCCGGAGGAGUCCACACGAGUUCAACAUACCUAUCAGCAUCCAUCGAUGCCACCAUCGAGUAAUCCGGAGGAGUCAACAAGAUCUGAAAAGACUCCCCAACUAGCAAGUGAAUCAUCAACAGUGCCAUUGUCAUUGGGUGUUGAAAGUGAAAAGAAUUUUGGAGAAACUUCGUCGGACGUAAAUAAAGUGGCAGAGGCCGAG